UUAUAUACCCGAAAGAAUUUCGGGCAUAUUAUGUUAUACCCCCUGGCGUCCGUCUGUCCGUCCGUCCGUACGUCCGUCCGUCCGUCUGUUAGCAAUUUGGUUUCCGGAGCAUAACUUAAGUUCCAUUUGGCCCACAGUAUUCAAACUUCAUAGGAUGAUUGCCCAUAUUGGGUAGAAGACCCCUAUUGAUUUUGGGGUCACAAGGUCAAAGGUCAAGGUCACUAUUAGCUAAAUACUGAAAAUGGUUUCCGGAGCAUAACUUAAGUUCCAUUUGACCCACAGUAUUCAAACUUCAUAGGAUGAUUGUCCAUAUUAAGUAGAAGACCCCUAUUGAUUUUGGGGUCACAAGGUCAAGGUCACUAUUAGCGAAAUACUGAAAAUGGUUUCCGGAGCAUAACUUAAGUUCCAUUUGGCCCACAGUAUUCAAACUUCAUAGGAUGAUUGUCCAUAUUGGGUAAAAAACCCCUAUUGAUUUUGGGGUCACAAGGUUAAAGGUCAAGGUCACUAGUAGCUAAAUACGUAAAAUGGUUUCCGAAGCAUAACUCAAGUUCCAUUUGACCCACAGUUUUCAAACUUCAUAGGAUGAUUGUCCAUAUUUGGUAGAAGACCCCUAUUGAUUUUGGGGUCACAAGGCCAAAGGUCAAGGUCACUAUUAGCUUUAUACUGAAAAUGGUUUCCGGAGCAUAACCUAAGUUCCAUUUGGCCCACAGUAUUCAAACUUCAUAGGAUGAUUGUUCAUAUUGGGUAGAAGACCGCUAUUGAUUUUGGGGUCACAAGGUCAAAGAUCAAUGGAUGACUAUCACCUUUAAACUGGAAACAGUUUUCACUCAAUAACUCAAGUAUUAAACGAACUACAGCUGUUAAAUUUUAUAGGAUUAACAGCUUUAUACCCCUGACGUCUUGGUGUCCAUCCGUUUUAGCAUUUUUACUUACAAGAUAACAACUUGAUGGUGGUGCUUUGAAAACAGCAACUGCAUAUAUACAUGAAUGUUCUUCAGCUAUAAAGGAGGAUUGCUUUUUGAAGGAAGUAAUACUGUAUUUAAUUCCAAUGU